UACGGAGGGUGCAAGCGUUGUUCGGAAUCACUGGGCGUAAAGGGCGUGUAGGCGGUCCGCUAAGUCUGAUGUGAAAGCCCGGGGCUCACCCCCGGAAGGGCAUUGGAAACUGGCGGACUCGAGUCUCGGAGAGGAAGGUGGAAUUCCGUGGUGGUAGCGGUGAAAUGCGUAGAUAUCAGGAGGAAUACCGGUGGCGAAGGCGGCCUUCUGGACGAUGACUGACGCUGAGACGCGAAAGCGUGGGAGCAAACAGG
rnacentral:rRNA from 1 species